AGACAUUAAUGAGAAAAAGGUACAUUCCUAAGCAUUAUUCUCGAGUACUCAGGAUCCAAAAGUGUUGAAGAAUAUUACAAAGAAAUGGAGGCCCUUCUGAAUAGA